rnacentral:tRNA from 1 species
GCCAUUAGCUCAGUUGGUAGAGCACCUGACUUUUAAUCAGGGUGU